GGGGGGGGGGGGGGGGGGGGGGGGCGCGGGGGGGUCGGGCGGGGGGGCCCUGCGUUUGGGGGGUGCUCGAGUGGCGAACGGGUGGGUAACACGUGAGUAACCUGCCCUUGACUUUGGGAUAACUUCAGGAAACUGGGGCUAAUACCGGCUAGGAGCUCCUGCUGCCUGGUGGGGGUUGGAAAGUUUCGGCGGUUGGGGAUGGACUCGCGGCUUAUCAGCUUGUUGGUGGGGUAGUGGCUUACCAAGGCUUUGACGGGUAGCCGGCCUGAGAGGGUGACCGGCCACAUUGGGACUGAGAUACGGCCCAGACUCCUACGGGAGGCAGCAGUGGGGAAUAUUGCACAAUGGGCGGAAGCCUGAUGCAGCAACGCCGCGUGCGGGAUGACGGCCUUCGGGUUGUAAACCGCUUUCGCCUGUGACGAAGCGUGAGUGACGGUAAUGGGUAAAGAAGCACCGGCUAACUACGU
rnacentral:rRNA from 1 species